rnacentral:rRNA from 1 species
ACGGAGGGUGCAAGCGUUAUCCGGAUUUAUUAGGUUUAAAGGGUUCGCAGGCGGAAUUUUAAGUCAGUGGUGAAAGCCUAUAGCUCAACUAUAGAACUGCCACUGAUACUGAUAUUCUUGAGUGUAGAUGAAGUGGGCGGAAUAUGUCAUGUAGCGGUGAAAUGCAUAGAUAUGACAUGGAACACCAAUUGCGAAGGCAGCUCACUAAACUAUUUACUGACGCUCAUGAACGAAAGCAUGGGGAGCGAACAGG